CAUGCAAGUCGAACGUGAUUUUUGUGGAAAUCUUUCGGGAAUGGAAAUGAAAUGAAAGUGGCGAGCGGGUGAGUAACACGUGAGCAUCCUACCUUACACAGGGGGAUAGCCGUUGGAAACGACGAUUAAUACCGCAUGAGACCACAGAAUCGCAUGAUAUAGGGGUCAAAGAUUUAUCGGUGUAAGAAGGGCUCGCGUCUGAUUAGCUAGUUGGAAGGGUAAAGGCCUACCAAGGCGACGAUCAGUAGCCGGUCUGAGAGGAUGAACGGCCACAUUGGAACUGAGACACGGUCCAAACUCCUACGGGAGGCAGCAGUGGGGAAUAUUGCACAAUGGGGGGAACCCUGAUGCAGCGACGCCGCGUGAGCGAAGAAGGUUUUCGAAUCGUAAAGCUCUGUCCUAUGAGAAGAUAAUGACGGUAUCAUAGGAGGAAGCCCCGGCUAAAUACGUGCCAGCAGCCGCGGUAAUACGUAUGGGGCGAGCGUUGUCCGGAAUUAUUGGGCGUAAAGGGUACGUAGGCGGUUUUUUAAGUCAGGUGUGAAAGCGUGAGGCUUAACCUCAUUAAGCACUUGAAACUGGAAGACUUGAGUGAAGGGGAGGAAAGUGGAAUUCCUAGUGUAGCGGUGAAAUGCGUAGAUAUUAGGAGGAAUACCGGUGGCGAAGGCGACUUUCUGGACUUUUACUGACGCUCAGGUACGAAAGCGUGGGGAGCAAACAGGAUUAGAUACCCUGGUAGUCCACGCCGUAAGCGAUGAAUGCUAGGUGUUGGGAGUCAAAUCUCGGUGCCGAAGUUAACACAUUAAGCAUUCCGCCUGGGG
rnacentral:rRNA from 1 species